CCUACGGGGGGCAGCAGUGGGGAAUAUUGCACAAUGGGGGAAACCCUGAAGCAGCAACGCCGCGUGGAGGAUGAAGGUUUUCAGAUUGUAAACUCCUUUUGUUAGAGAAGAUAAUGACGGUAUCUAACGAAUAAGCACCGGCUAACUCCGUGCCAGCAGCCGCGGUAAUACGGAGGGUGCAAGCGUUACUCGGAAUCACUGGGCGUAAAGAGCGCGUAGGCGGGAUAGCAAGUCAGAUGUGAAAUCCUAUGGCUUAACCAUAGAACUGCAUUUGAAACUGUUAGUCUAGAGUAUGGGAGAGGUAGGUGGAAUUCUUGGUGUAGGGGUAAAAUGCGUAGAGAUCAAGAGGAAUACUCAUGGCGAAGGCGACCUGCUAGAACAUAACUGACGCUGAUGCGCGAAAGCGUGGGGAGCAAACAGGAUUAGAUACCCGUGUAGUC
rnacentral:rRNA from 1 species